AUUUCCUCUAAGUAAUCUCUAUCAGCUAGAAAAAUCUGUUCUUAUCAGCUUAAUAUCUGCCACGUCCUGCAUCACAGGAGUAAAAUAUUAAACUUAUUUUUGGUUCAUGGUGGAGUCCUAAGAGCAUACUCUAGUCCUGUCGCAGGAUGCCUUUUCACUUUUGAAAAAAAAUGGUUCAUGACCUA